GAUGAACGCUGGCGGCGUGCCUAAUACAUGCAAGUCGAGCGAACGGACGAGAAGCUUGCUUUUCUGAUGUUAGCGGCGGACGGGUGAGUAACACGUGGAUAACCUACCUAUAAGACUGGGAUAACUUCGGGAAACCGGAGCUAAUACCGGAUAAUAUUUUGAACCGCAUGGUUCAAAAUUGAAAGACGGUCUUGCUGUCACUUAUAGAUGGAUCCGCGCUGCAUUAGCUAGUUGGUAAGGUAACGGCUUACCAAGGCAACGAUGCAUAGCCGACCUGAGAGGGUGAUCGGCCACACUGGAACUGAGACACGGUCCAGACUCCUACGGGAGGCAGAAGUAGGGAAUCUUCCGCAAUGGGCGAAAGCCUGACGGAGAAACGCCGCGUGAGUGAUGAAGGUCUUCGGAUCGUAAAACUCUGUUAUUAGGGAAGAACAUAUGUGUAAGUAACUGUGCACAUCUUGACGGUACCUAAUCAGAAAGCCACGGCUAACUACGUG
rnacentral:rRNA from 1 species